rnacentral:rRNA from 1 species
GAUGAACGCUGGCGGCGUGCCUAAUACAUGCAAGUCGAGCGAAUGGAUUAAGAGCUUGCUCUUAUGAAGUUAGCGGCGGACGGGUGAGUAACACGUGGGUAACCUGCCCAUAAGACUGGGAUAACUCCGGGAAACCGGGGCUAAUACCGGAUAACAUUUUGAACCGCAUGGUUCGGAAUUGAAUGGCUGCUUCGGCUGUCACGUCUGGAUGGACCCGCGUCGCAUUAGCUAGUUGGUAAGGUAACGGCUCACCAAGGCAACGAUGCGUAGCCGACCUGAGAGGGUGAUCGGCCACACUGGGACUGAGACACGGCCCAGACUCCUACGGGAGGCAGCAGUAGGGAAUCUUCCGCAAUGGACGAAAGUCUGACGGAGCAACGCCGCGUGAGUGAUGAAGGCUUUCGGGUCGUAAAACUCUGUUGUUAGGGAAGAACAAGUGCUAGUUGAAUAAGCUGGCACCUUGACGGUACCUAACCAGAAAGCCACGGCUAACUACGUGCCAGCAGCCGCAGUAA